CCUACGGGUGGCAGCAGUGAGGAAUAUUGGUCAAUGGCCGAGAGGCUGAACCAGCCAAGUCGCGUGAGGGAAGACGGCCCUACGGGUUGUAAACCUCUUUUGUCGGGGAGCAAAGCGAACCACGUGGGGUUCAUUGAGAGUACCCGAAGAAAAAGCAUCGGCGAACUCCGUGCCAGCAGCCGCGGUAAGACGGGGGGUGCGAGCGUUAUCCGGAUUUAUUGGGGUGAAAGGGUGCGCAGGCGGAGGUGCAAGUCAGCGGUCAAAUUGCGGGGCUCAACCCCGUACUGCCGUUGAAACUGCAUCCCUUGAGUGCGCGAGAAGUAUGCGGAAUGCGUGGUGUAGCGGUGAAAUGCAUAGAUAUCACGCAGAACUCCGAUUGCGAAGGCAGCAUACCGGCGCGCAACUGACGCUCAUGCACGAAAGCGUGGGUAUCGAACAGGAUUAGAUACCCUUGUAGUC
rnacentral:rRNA from 1 species